GUGAGGGCAGCCAGGUGCAGCUGGGUAUAAAUACAGGCAGGCACUGCAGAAACCUGAUUCCCUGGAUCAUUUGUCCUGCACAGGUCAGAGCCACCUGCACAUGCCACCCUGCUGGGGGGCACCCACUCUGUGUCCCCUGUGGUGUUGUGAGGUCCCCAGGAUGAGUGCCCAUUUAGGACGCAGGCACAGUUCCCUUCUGUGCCCACAGAGCCAUCAUUUCUCUUGCCAGAGGCACAGAAAAUGAGAACUGCCCAAUUUUGGCCCUGCUCCCACUCCUGGAGGACAGAGAGUCCCCUUGCAGAAAAGGAAUGAGGUCUCAACCUCCAGCAGCACCAGAGCUGUGAGCAUGCCCUCGUGCCUGCCAACAGGGCUUUGGACAAAGCAGCAUCUCUGGGCAUGGUUUUGUAUCCCCACAGCAACACAGCCAGCCUGAGGUGACCAAGCCACCUCCCAGAGUGAAGCCUGGCCAGGGGUGGGAUCAUCCUGCCAAGCCAGGAGCACUCAGAUCAAGUUCAGCAAUUAAA